rnacentral:tRNA from 1 species
GUUACUGUAGUUGAAACACAACGGUGGUUUUUCAAUCCAUUGGUCCUGGUUAAAUUCCUGGCAGAAACU